rnacentral:tRNA from 1 species
AGAACUUUAGUAUACUACACAUUACAUGAUUCUGUCAGAAUCAAAACAUAGAUUCUCUAUAAGUUCUA